AUUGAACGCUGGCGGCAUGCCUUACACAUGCAAGUCGAACGGCAGCACGGGUGCUUGCACCUGGUGGCGAGUGGCGAACGGGUGAGUAAUACAUCGGAACGCACCUUAUCGUGGGGGAUAACGCAGCGAAAGCUGUGCUAAUACCGCAUACGCCCUGAGGGGGAAAGCGGGGGAUCGCAAGACCUCGCGCGAUUAGAGCGGCCGAUGCCUGAUUAGCUUGUUGGUGGGGUAAAAGCCCACCAAGGCGACGAUCAGUAGCUGGUCUGAGAGGACGAUCAGCCACACUGGGACUGAGACACGGCCCAGACUCCUACGGGAGGCAGCAGUGGGGAAUUUUGGACAAUGGGGGCAACCCUGAUCCAGCAAUGCCGCGUGAGUGAAGAAGGCCUUCGGGUUGUAAAGCUCUUUUGUCAGGGAAGAAACACCGGCUCUAACACAGUUCGGGAAUGACGGUACCUGAAGAAUAAGCACCGGCUAACUACGUGCCAGCCGCCGCGGUAA
rnacentral:rRNA from 1 species